rnacentral:rRNA from 1 species
AACGUAGGAGCCUAGCGUUAUCCGAAUUCACUGGGCGUAAAGCGCGUGCAGGCGGUUCGGUAAGUUGGAUGUGAAAUCUCCUGGCUCAACUGGGGAGAGGACGUUCAAGACUGUCGGACUAGAGGACGGUAGAGGAAGGUAGAAUUCCCGGUGUAGUGGUGAAAUGCGUAGAUAUCGGGGAGGAACACCAGUGGCGAAGGCGACUACCCUGGCCUGUUUCUUGACGCUGAGGGCGCGAAAAAGCUAGGGGGGAGCAAAACG